rnacentral:rRNA from 1 species
GAUGAACGCUGGCGGCGUGCCUAAUACAUGCAAGUCGAGCGAACAGACGAGGAGCUUGCUCCUCUGACGUUAGCGGCGGACGGGUGAGUAACACGUGGAUAACCUACCUAUAAGACUGGGAUAACUUCGGGAAACCGGAGCUAAUACCGGAUAAUAUAUUGAACCGCAUGGUUCAAUAGUGAAAGACGGUUUUGCUGUCACUUAUAGAUGGAUCCGCGCCGCAUUAGCUAGUUGGUAAGGUAACGGCUUACCAAGGCAACGAUGCGUAGCCGACCUGAGAGGGGGACCGGCCACCCUGGAACUGAGACACGGUCCAGACUCCUACGGGAGGCAGCAGUAGGGAAUCUUCCGCAAUGGGCGAAAGCCUGACGGAGCAACGCCGCGUGAGUGAUGAAGGUCUUCGGAUCGUAAAACUCUGUUAUUAGGGAAGAACAAAUGUGUAAGUAACUAUGCACGUCUUGACGGUACCUAAUCAGAAAGCCACGGCUAACUACGUG